CAUGCAACUUUUUACUACAGGAUGGCAGGACAGGAGAAUUGUGGACUUCACCCCCAAAGUCCAUUUUUUUUUAUAACUGUCUGUGUGUACUACCAACAUACGCAGGUGUGAUGCCCCCAAACGUGGGCUGAAUCUGCAGCUCAUGCAUGGCCCACGUCAUGUCCUGCAAGACCAAUUGUUUGUGGAGGGCAAGAAGAGCUCCUGGCUGUGGGAGGAACUGAGUGAAAUUAAUCAAGACGGCUGAGCCACAGCCCAGCUCCAAAGCCAAGAUUCAUUUUCUUAGGCACAUUCUCAUUUGUGAUUCAGAUGAAAAAUGUUGCUCUUUCCCAUCACUUCGGAAAAAAUGUUUCAAUGGUGAGUCAAAAGAAUGUCCAUUGUAAUGAACAUUUGAUCCGGCUUUGACCGAGGAGUAGAGGGCUCAGUUUCUGCCACUCUUCCCCCACAGUAGACUGCCUGAAGCAGAAAUGACAGCUGUGACACCCUGAUCAUCCUGUACUGCAUCCUGCUCCACC
rnacentral:lncRNA from 1 species